CUUUUAAUAUUCCUCUGAUAUACAAAUCUUCUGAAAACUUUAAUAUUAUCAAGGUUUAUAAACGACUUAAUAUUAGAAUUGAGACUCUCUUCAGGUAUUUUAAUACUACAGUAGCAAUUAAUACACAGUACAUUGUAAUUGUUUUUGUUCUUGAAAAUUGCCCUUUCACGCGCUCUUUCAACCAUUAGAAACAUAAUAGCGUUAAACGGCUAAAUUAUGCUGGAGGAACCACAAAUGUCUCUACAUUUAAAGCUUUUUCAAACUGACACAGAGGUGAAUGGACAAGAUUACAAUUAAUUGUGACAUUUUUCUUCGACAACAGCACUCUUCGCGGCUCCUGCCGGCUCUAUACUGACCCUGUUUCACACGCAAUAUUUUCCUUAUUCAGUCGCUAACACACCUUUUGUAUCCCACUAUGAAGAACAUCAACAUUUCCACCAAAACCCCGAAAAAAUAAUCAUUUU